CAGUCGCCGCGGUAAAACGAGGGGAGCUAGCGUUGUUCGGAAUUACUGGGCGUAAAGCGCGCGUAGGCGGCUUUUUAAGUCAGAGGUGAAAGCCCGGGGCUCAACCCCGGAAUUGCCUUUGAAACUGGAAAGCUAGAAUCUUGGAGAGGUCAGUGGAAUUCCGAGUGUAGAGGUGAAAUUCGUAGAUAUUCGGAAGAACACCAGUGGCGAAGGCGACUGACUGGACAAGUAUUGACGCUGAGGUGCGAAAGCGUGGGGAGCAAACAGGAUUAGAUACCCGAGUAGUCCCUGUCUCUUAUAC
rnacentral:rRNA from 1 species